CAAUAGCGUAUAUUAAAGUUGUUGCGGUUAAAAAGCUCGUAGUUGGAGUUCUGCCAGGUGCCGCCUGUCCGCCCCAGUGGUGAGUACGUGGCGCGCAUUUGGCCCUUUCAAGGGGAGCGUAUCUGCACUUUAUUGUGUGGUGCGGGAUCCUUGACUUUUACUUUGAGGAAAUAGGAGUGUUCCAAGCAGGCUCUCGUCGUGCACAGCUCAGCAUGGAAUAAUAGCAUUGGACCUCGAUUCUAAGCUGUUGGUUGCCAGAAGCGAGGUAAUGAUGAAGAGGGAUAGUUGGGGGCAUUCGUAUUUAACUGUCAGAGGUGAGAUUCUUGGAUUUGUUAAAGACGGACUACUGCGAAAGCAUCUGCCAUGGAUGUUUUCAUUGA
rnacentral:rRNA from 1 species